rnacentral:rRNA from 1 species
UUUCCGGUUGAUCCUGCCGGACCUGACUGCUAUCGGAUUGAUACUAAGCCAUGCGAGUCAUUGUAGCAAUACAAGGCAGACGGCUCAGUAACGCGUAGUCAACCUACCCUAUGGACGGGGAUAACCUCGGGAAACUGAGAAUAAUACCCGAUAGAACAUUAUGCCUGGAAUGGUUUAUGUUUCAAAUAAUUUAUUGCCGUAGGAUGGGACUGCGGCCUAUCAGUUUGUUGGUGAGGUAAUGGCCCACCAAGACUAUUACAGGUACGGGCUCUGAGAGGAGUAGCCCGGAGAUGGGUACUGAGACACGGACCCAGGCCCUAUGGGGCGCAGCAGGCGAGAAAACUUUGCAAUGUGCGAAAGCACGACAAGGUUAAUCCGAGUGAUUUCUGCUAAAGGAAUCUUUUGUCAGUCCUAGAAACACUGUUGAAUAAGGGGUGGGCAAGUUCUGGUGUCAGCCGCCGCGGUAAAACCAGCACCUCAAGUGGUCAGGAUGAUUAUUGGGCCUAAAGCAUCCGUAGCCUGCUUUAUCAGUUUUCGGUUAAAUCCACACGCUCAACGUAUGGGCUGCCGGGAAUACUGUAAAGCUAGGGAGUGGGAGAGGUAGACGGUACUCGGGAGGAAGGGGUAAAAUCCUUUGAUCUCUCGAUGACCACCUGUGGCGAAGGCGGUCUACCAGAACACGUCCGACGGUGAGGGAUGAAAGCUGGGGGAGCAAACCGGAUUAGAUACCCGGGUAGUCCCAGCUGUAAACUAUGCAAACUCAGUGAUGCAUUGGCUUGAUGCCAAUGCAGUGUUGCAGGGAAGCCGUUAAGUUUGCCGCCUGGGAAGUACGUACGCAAGUAUGAAACUUAAAGGAAUUGGCGGGGGAGCACCACAAGGGGUGAAGCCUGCGGUUCAAUUGGAGUCAACGCCGGG